GCAUUGGUGGUUCAGAGGUAGAAUUCUCACCUUCUGUGCAGGAGACCCGGGUUGGAUUCCUGACCAAUACA
rnacentral:tRNA from 1 species